rnacentral:rRNA from 1 species
AGAGUUUGAUCCUGGCUCAGGAUGAACGCUAGCGGCAGGCUUAAUACAUGCAAGUCGAGGGGCAGCAUGAGUGUAGCAAUACAUUUGAUGGCGACCGGCAAACGGGUGCGGAACACGUACAGAACCUUCCUUCGAGCGGGGAAUAGCCCAGAGAAAUUUGGAUUAAUACCCCAUAGCAUAUCGGAGUGGCAUCACUUUGAUAUUAAAGAUUUAUCACUUGAAGAUGGCUGUGCGGCUGAUUAGAUAGUUGGCGGGGUAACGGCCCACCAAGUCUGCGAUCAGUAACUGGUGUGAGAGCACGACCAGUCACACGGGCACUGAGACACGGGCCCGACUCCUACGGGAGGCAGCAGUAAGGAAUAUUGGUCAAUGGACGAAAGUCUGAACCAGCCAUGCCGCGUGGAGGAUGAAGGCCCUCUGGGUUGUAAACUUCUUUUAUUUGGGACGAAAAAAGGCUUUUCUAAGUCGUCUGACGGUACCAGAGAAUAGAC